AAUCAACGCUGGCGGCGUGCCUAACACAUGCAAGUCGAACGCGAAAGCCCGCAAGGGUGAGUAGAGUGGCAAACGGGUGAGUAACACGUGGGUGACCUGCCUCAGAGUGGGGGAUAACGACCCGAAAGGGUCGCUAAUACCGCAUAACAUCCUGCCUUUGGAAAGGUGGAGAUCAAAGCCGGGGAUCGCAAGACCUGGCGCUCAGAGAGGGGCCCGCGGCCGAUUAGCUAGUUGGUAGGGUAACGGCCUACCAAGGCAACGAUCGGUAUC
rnacentral:rRNA from 1 species